AUGUUUCGCUUGUCUCAGUGUUUACAGAAGCAUUAUUUGAAGAAUAAGGUUCCUGUAUCCAUCUUUGCCAUAUUUACAAUGGGUAAGUUUUUUGCUGAGCAUAAUUGUACAGGCUUUUUCUCAUACAUAUUAGUCCUUUAUUCAAAUUGCAGCAACAGGGUUUUUUUUUUCUUUUUUUCCUGCAGACCUCACAGAUGGCCGUGCUCCCAGAUUUGAAAAGGUUUCUUUGGAAACCAAAUACAACAUUACGGUUGGAACCCAAACUGCUUUAAAGCCAAUGCUAUUAGAUGGCUUACACAAACUGACCCCAGAGCAGGUCUGAAGAUGAGCUGACUGGGGUUUUCUGCUACAGGAGGACACUGAAGACAUUCUUUUUUUUAACUUUUUUUUCUGUGUGUGAGUAAAUAGAUGGACAGGAUAGUGAGGACCACUGAAGCACUGGUCAUAUAAAUGAUGGAUUAUGAGAUUAUGAUGCUUGGACAGAGUUGAAUAUUUAAGAUGGUCCUUUUCUUUUUCUUUUUCCUCACUGCACGAAAGCAUGUGAAUGAAGUGGAGCACCAAGCAAUUUUGCCUCCCCUCCCAAUGUGUUGUGUAAUCUGUCCACUCUGGGUUUUCCAUUUCCUGUUCCUUCACUGGUAAAAAAAAAAUCCCUCUCAAAGUUCACUCCGUAAUAAAAUUUACAUCCAGUUACGGCUGUGUUGAAAAGUUCUAUAUAUAGAGAUACAAAUUUUGAAGUCAGUAAGUUUGUUUUUCUUUAAAGAAAUCAAUGCUGUUAAUGCUACUCAGCAAACGGCACAUUAAAUAGAUGAUAAAAGUGACAGUAAAAUUUUGUACAUGUUUACAGAAGAUUUCUAUUUUAAAUAAAUUAGCAUAGUUUACACAGAAAUAUUAAGAAUCUACAUUGAAGAUAAUAAGAAAUGUUUCAGCAUAUUAGAAUGAUUUCUGAGGGAUCAUGUGACACUGAAGACUGGAGUAAUGGCUGCAGAAAAUUAAGGAAUGAGUUUAAAAGUUAAGUAUAAUAAAUAACAGUGAUUUUAAAUUGUAAUAAUUAAAGUUUU
rnacentral:lncRNA from 1 species